rnacentral:rRNA from 1 species
GACGAACGCUGGCGGCGUGCCUAACACAUGCAAGUGGAGCGACGAACCGGGCUUCGGCCCGGGGGCCAAGCCGCGAACGGGUGAGUAACACGUGGGUAACCUGCCCUGAUGAUUGGGACAACCCGAGGAAACUCGGGCUAAUACCGAAUGUGCCCUCCGACCAUAAGGUCUGCGGGGAAAGGAAGCUUCGGCCUCCGCAUCGGGAUGGGCCCGCGGCGCAUUAGCUUGUUGGUGAGGUAACGGCUCACCAAGGCGACGAUGCGUAGCUGGUCUGAGAGGACGAUCAGCCACACUGGGACUGAGACACGGCCCAGACUCCUACGGGAGGCAGCAGUGGGGAAUCUUGCGCAAUGCGCGAAAGCGUGACGCAGCAACGCCGCGUGGGGGAAGACGGCCUCGG